GAUGAACGCUAGCUACGGGCUUAACACAUGCAAGUCGAGGGGAAACGACAUCGCAAGCUUGCUUUUGAUGGGCGUCGACCGGCGCACGGGUGAGUAACGCGUAUCCAACCUGCCCACCACUUGGGGAUAACCUUGCGAAAGUAAGACUAAUACCCAAUGACGUCUCUAGAAGACAUCUGAAAGAGAUUAAAGAUUUAUCGGUGAUGGAUGGGGAUGCGUCUGAUUAGCUUGUUGGCGGGGUAACGGCCCACCAAGGCGACGAUCAGUAGGGGUUCUGAGAGGAAGGUCCCCCACAUUGGAACUGAGACACGGUCCAAACUCCUACGGGAGGCAGCAGUGAGGAAUAUUGGUCAAUGGACGAGAGUCUGAACCAGCCAAGUAGCGUGCAGGAUGACGGCCCUAUGGGUUGUAAACUGCUUUUAUAAGGGAAUAAAGUGAGUCUCGUGAGACUUUUUGCAUGUACCUUAUGAAUAAGGACCGGCUAAUUCCGUG
rnacentral:rRNA from 1 species